AGAGCUCCCCAUCCCUGGGCAACCACCAGUCCACUUUCUAUAUACCUAUUUUAAUCAUUUAACAUAAAUGAAUUCAUACAAUAUCUAGUCUUUUGUGAUUGGCUUCCCCAAAAUGGUUUUCUCUGGCAUGAAAAAGUUGUUCUCAUCUUGAAAACUCUUCUUGUAGGAAAAGAAAGUGACUGGUAAAUCAAUGAAUUUAAGGAGGGAGGGCCAGAUACCUCACAGGUUUCUCAGUUGAUCUUAUGCUCAGUUUAAUCUUAUGCUGAAUAGCCAAUCAUUCAUUGUAUACUAUUGCUUAUAAUAUUUUGGCUAGUUUGUAGAAUGGACAUUGAAAUCUAUCUUUGCUGGCCCAGUCAGAAAAGUCCUGUUAAAAAUGAUGCCAAAUAAUUUGGCAAAUAAUUGACAUAGCACUUUUCAGGUGUCUGUCUUUGUCAGCACCUCAUAUACCUCGGGCCAGGUGAGCUCCCCAAAUCUCUUUUAAAAUUUAUUC
rnacentral:lncRNA from 1 species